rnacentral:lncRNA from 10 species
CCUAUCAGGAUCCAGCUGGAGAAAACAAAAGGUCAACUGAUGACCUGGAGCAGAUAUCAGAAUUGCUGAUCCACACGCUCAACCAAAACUCAGUACACUUCGAGCUGAAGCCAGGAGUCCGAGUCCUUGUCCAUGCUGCUCACUUAACAGCGGCCCCCCUGGUGGACCUCACUCCAACCCACAGUGGAUCUGCCAUGCUGAUGCUGCUCUCAGUGGUGUUUGUGGGGCUGGCAGUGUUCGUCAUCUACAAGUUUAAAAGGAAGAUCCCGGGGAUUAAUGUUUAUGCCCAGAUGCAGAAUGAGAAAGAACAAGAGAUGAUCAGUCCAGUCAGUCACUCUGAAAGCAGGCCCAAUGUCCCUCAGACUGAACUAAGGAGGCCUGGCCAGCUUAUAGAUGAGAAGGUGGAAUCCCAGCUCAUAGGUAAAUGAUUCCCAGUAGCCACCAGCUGUUCGGCUGAGUAGGCAAUGGCUGACUCUCUCUCUAACCCCUUUCUGGCUUGACAUAACCACUUUCUUUUGCUCUAACACCCCUGAGAGAAACAGCUAAGAUGGCUUUUUCCCUGCUUCCUCUGAUUGGGAUGGGGGAAAAACAAACAAACCUCUUGCUUCUAUCUAGUUUUUUUCUCUCAUUAGUUUAUUCCUCCUUUUGCAAAACCCUCCCUAAAAUAUUGGGCUUAAAAUGUUAAAAUGUUAUAUGUUUAUGGGCAAAGAGCAAAGCAUUUGCUUUAAUAGUAUAUAAGAAGGAGAGGCCUCAGAGGCUAAGGCUGGUGGACCAGAGGGCUGGGCAGGGUUUGCAGGACAUGGUAUGUAUUGACUAGAAUGAAACAUGGUAGCCUCAACUGGAUACAGCUCUUAAGGAGGGCAAACUGCUCUGGAACACCAGUAGAGAAGUGACAUAAUGAGAGUGGCCAGCCUGAUCCUCCAGGGAAUUUUUUUUUUUUUUACAUCUAUUGGUAGUCUAGGAACUUUCCCUCAGGAGAUUUGGAACCUAAGAUUGAGGACAAGAGGCAUAAUGUUUGCAGACAUCCAGGCAGUAGAGCAUCCUGAGAGAGACCACUGGUGGGUGAGACUAUUACAGAGCAGAUUAGCAAAUUUCUUCCUCUUUUUAGACUGUCCCUUACCAGAAGUUGUAAAAUGGACUUUCUCAUAUUUCAAUGGCUCUCUCUCUGCCUGUGAAGUAGGCAUGGGAAUCCAACAACGAGGUAUAGAGAAUCUGACGUUCACUUGCUAGAUUCUGCUAUUUAUUGCAGCAGAAAUUUUCCAGGAAGCUAGACAAACCUAUGAAGCCACUAUUGCUGAUCCAUUUCUCUGUCUGGUUCCUCCUGUCUGUUGGCAUUAGGAGUUGAAGCCUUAUAUGUUUACAUCUAGAUCCUGCAUUGCUGACAACAGUGAAUAAAUUAUUAUAUAACCAUUCAUGCUCCACUCUAAUGUGAUAAUGCCAAACCACCUAGAAGGCCUUUACAUAAAAUUUUUAAUCUUACUUGGAAAACAAUGAGUAUGUAAACGGAAACAUAACCCUCUUUAAAUGAAUAUGGGAAAGGUCUGUGGCUGUGUUAAGGGGAAAUGUAAAUGCAGUGACUGGCUCCUAUCAUAGAUAAUGAUAACAACUGCAGUCACAUCUGGUGUCCGAUUUUCACAGUGCACUUUCUUUUAUUUGGAGAGGCAAGGUAAUAAAUGUGUGAUUGCUUGGGGCUAAAAAGAAAAAAGUCUUUUCUGCCUUCAAGUCCAGAGAAGCAUUCACCCUGUCUACUCAUUCCUAAAGCUUCUAAGUGCAUUUUUGGGGAUCGUUUGGUUCUCAGUCGCAUUUCCGUAGGGUAUGAAGCACAGCCUCUGUUUGCUUUAUUAAAGUAGUAAUUCCUCCUUCUCCAGGAAGAUAUCGCAGCACAUUGCAAAGUCUCUGACACCUUUCCCUUUCCAGUGUCAUUAAAUGAGUAAGUGUUACACGUUUUCUCUUAGGAGAGUAGCUUUACCCUCCCCUCCCUCCCCUUCUACUCAACCUGGUGACUCAUCUCUCCGAUUGCAAAGAGCAAGACACGCCACUCCGCCUUCAACGCCAAAGCGGGGAUCUGCUGGGGCACAGUAUGCAAUUUAAGGAAAACCCCCAAAGGCUACAGGCGACCUGCUGAUCAGGAAAGAAUUUCGCUCUUGUCAAGUACAUCAUCCUUCAUGACCACUAACUUUGUGUUUUUUUUCUUUCCUUUGUUGUUCUGUUUCCUAUUUUGCCAGGAAGUAUUUCCAUAGUUGCUGAGAAUCAAAGCACAAAAGAAAUCCCUACCUAUGUAAAUGUUUGAAUGGAGGACGCCAGUAAAAAAAC